GUCCACGCCCUAAAACGAUGUCAACUGGUUGUUGGGUCUUUACUGACUCAGUAACGAAGCUAACGCGUGAAGUUGACCGCCUGGGGGAGUACGGGCCGCAAGGUUGAAAACUCAAAAGGAAUUGACGGGGACCCGCACAAGCGGUGGAUGAUGUGGUUUAAUUCGAUGCAACGCGAAAAACCUUACCCACCUUUGACAUGUACGGAAGCCUUUAGAGAUAGAGGCGUGCUCGAAAGAGAGCCGUAACACAGGUGCUGCAUGGCUGUCGU
rnacentral:rRNA from 1 species